AAGUGUGCGGUGGUGGUGUGUAUUUCAUCAAAGGGUAGAUGUUCAAAUGGUUUUAUAUGCCUCUUCAAUAGUUACCAAUAGCCGAUUCUAUAGGGAUAGGAAAUGUGUACCCGGAUUUCCUAGAGUGACCAAUGCUUCUAACGCAUAUGAUCAUUGUGAGCAACAAGGAAAUUGUAAACCCAGGUUUGUUAUCAAAUUAGACGUGAACUUAUCGACAGAUGCCUUAUCCCCCGUAAAAAACCACUUGGUCAAACGUCAAAACCUUAAAGAAACAAUAAUCCCAAAAUUAUUUUUUAGCAUGGGAUAAGAGAUGACGGGUAGAUGCGCAAAUAGUUUCAUCUUUACUGAGUUACCAGCUGAC